rnacentral:rRNA from 1 species
GCUUAUGGCCAUACCACCCUGAACACGCCUGAUCUCGUCUGAUCUCGGAAGCUAAGCAGGGUCGGGCCUGGUUUGUACUUGGAUGGGAGACCGCCAUGGGAAUACCAUGUGCUGUAGCUU